GACGAACGCUGGCGGCGUGCUUAACACAUGCAAGUCGAGCGGGCAUAGCAAUAUGUCAGCGGCAGACGGGUGAGUAACGAGUGGGAACGUACCUUUUGGUUCGGAACAACACAGGGAAACUUGUGCUAAUACCGGAUAAGCCCUUACGGGGAAAGAUUUAUCGCCAAAAGAUCGGCCCGCGUCUGAUUAGCUAGUUGGUGAGGUAAUGGCACACCAAGGCGACGAUCAGUAGCCGGUCUGAGAGGAUGAUCAGCCACAUUGGGACUGAGACGCGGCCCAAACUCCUACGGGAGGCAGCAGUGGGGAAUAUUGGACAAUGGGCGCAAGCCUGAUCCAGCCAUGCCGCGUGAGUGAUGAAGGCCCUAGGGUUGUAAAGCUCUUUUGUGCGGGAAGAUAAUGACGGUACCGCAAGAAUAAGCCCCGGCUAACUUCGUGCCAGCAGCCGCCGUAA
rnacentral:rRNA from 1 species